UCCCUUAUGGCUCAGUCGGUAAAGAAUCUGCCUGCAGUGCAGGAGACCCGGGUUUGAGUCCUGGGUUGGGAA
rfam:TPA: Bos taurus chromosome 15, whole genome shotgun sequence.